ncrna:unclassified sequences raiA RNA
CGGAAUCGGGUCUGUGGUUGCAAGUCGAUGCCAGUCGCAGGCAAAACGACCCACGUAAGCGGAAUAAAGUUUCCGUGAGCAUGGUGCGGCUUAGAGGUAAGACCAACCGGCGACUCGGUCGCCGAGAGGGGCAGUAGUGGGGAGCGCAGCCGCUUAUGAGCGAACCCUCCUGUUGGCGAGUGUGGGGACAAAGACCAGGUCAGCCGAUAUCG